rnacentral:rRNA from 1 species
GUGAGGAAUUUUGCGCAAUGGGGGCAACCCUGACGCAGCGACGCCGCGUGGAGGACGAAGUCUUUCGGGAUGUAAACUCCUGUCAGUGGGGACGAUAAUGACGGUACCCACAGAGGAAGCACCGGCUAACUCCGUGCCAGCAGCCGCGGUAAGACGGAGGGUGCAAGCGUUGUUCGGAAUUACUGGGCGUAAAGCGUAUGUAGGCGGCAAGUUAAGUUCAAUGUUAAAGCCCACGGCUCAACCGAGGAGAUGCAUUGAAUACUGGCUAGCUAAAGGGUGUUAGAAGAAGACGGAAUUCCCAGUGUAGCGGUGAAAUGCGUAGAUAUUGGGAGGAACAUCGGUAGCGAAAGCGGUCUUCUGGGACAUACCUGACGCUGAGGUACGAAAGCGUGGGGAGCAAACGGGAUUAGAUGCCCGAGUAGUCC